GAUGAACGCUGGCGGCGUGCCUAAUACAUGCCAGUCGAGCGAACAGAUGAGGAGCUUGCUCCUCUGACGUUAGCGGCGGACGGGUGAGUAACACGUGGAUAACCUACCUAUAAGACUGGGAUAACUUCGGGAAACCGGAGCUAAUACCGGAUAAUAUAUUGAACCGCAUGGUUCAUUAGUGAAAGACGGUUUUGCUGUCACUUAUAGAUGGAUCCGCGCCGCAUUAGCUAGUUGGUAAGGUAACGGCUUACCAAGGCAACGAUGCGUAGCCGACCUGAGAGGGUGAUCGGCCACACUGGAACUGAGACACGGUCCAGACUCCUACGGGAGGCAGCAGUAGGGAAUCCUCCGCAAUGGGCGAAAGCCUGACGGAGCAACGCCGCGUGAGUGAUGAAGGUCUUCGGAUCGUAAAACUCUGUUAUUAGGGAAGAACAAAUGUGUAAGUAACUAUGCACGUCUUGACGGUACCUAAUCAGAAAGCCACGGCUAACUACGUG
rnacentral:rRNA from 1 species